AGGACGAACGCUGGCGGCGUGCCUAACACAUGCAAGUCGAGCGGGGACAUGCGACGGAUAGGAAGUUUCGGAUGGAAUUGAAGAUGUAUGUUCUAGCGGCGGACGGGUGAGUAACGCGUGAGCAACCUGUCCUUCACAGGGGAUAACACAGCGAAAGUUGUACUAAUACCGCAUAAGACCACGUUGGGACAUCCCAAAGGGGUCAAAGGAGCAAUCCGGGUGAAGGGUGGGCUCGCGUCCGAUUAGAUAGUUGGUGAGGUAACGGCCCACCAAGUCGACGAUCGGUAGCCGACCUGAGAGGGUGAUCGGCCACAUUGGGACUGAGACACGGCCCAAACUCCUACGGGAGGCAGCAGUGGGGAAUAUUGGGCAAUGGGGGGAAACCCUGACCCAGCAACGCCGCGUGAGGGAAGAAGGUUUUCGGAUCGUAAACCUCUGUCCUUGGUGAAGAGUAAGAGACGGUAGCCAAGGAGGAAGCCCCGGCUAACUACGUGCCAGCAGCGGC
rnacentral:rRNA from 1 species